UACGUAGGGCGCAAGCGUUGUCCGGAAUUAUUGGGCGUAAAGAGCUCGUAGGCGGUUUGUCGCGUCGGAUGUGAAAACCCAGGGCUCAACCCUGGGCCUGCAUUCGAUACGGGCAGACUAGAGUAUGGCAGGGGAGACUGGAAUUCCUGGUGUAGCGGUGAAAUGCGCAGAUAUCAGGAGGAACACCGGUGGCGAAGGCGGGUCUCUGGGCCAAAACUGACGCUGAGGAGCGAAAGCGUGGGGAGCGAACAGG
rnacentral:rRNA from 1 species